GGGCACUGUGAGCUGCCACAGCAGCUUGCUCUGAGAUUAGCACUCACCUGGCACCUACAGUCAGCUGAGCACAUCAAUGGCAGAUAAGCAGGAGAUAAGAGAAGAUUAGCGCUAUGCAAGGAAGUGUUUGCAGGAUCAGAAUCCAGAACCGUAUCUGACCAAAUUUUAACGCUACCAGGAAAAAGCUGCAGGCAAACAUGGUAAGGAAUGUACUAUAAAAAUCUAUUAUAAGCUAUACACAUUUUGCAAUUUUUCAUUUGAAG
rnacentral:lncRNA from 12 species